UUCCAUCUUUUGAUCUCUAACUGCCUUCUUCAACUUAACCAAACUAGGAUCUCUAUCUUGCUUUUCUUUUACUUUGGCAACCAACGAAGAUUACAAACCACUCUGAACCUACACACUACUUUAUUUUGAAUCAACCAAUAGGAUACCUAAUCUAGUAAGCUGAUGAACCUUACUGACUAACUUCUUCUUAUCCUCCUCAACAUGAGCAGCA
rnacentral:lncRNA from 1 species